CAUCUCAGUUAGUCAUAAAUGACCAAAAUUUGGAACAAUCAAUCAGAUAAAUUGACAAACAGAUACCAUGAAAGUGAGAAACAUAGAAUACGCACGAAAAGCAGGUUCUUUUAUAUCACUAGUACUAAAGAUUACCAAAAUCAAUUUAUUUGAAAGUUAUCUAUCAGUGAUCAAAACUAAGGUAACCAAAAUCAAUUUAUUCGAAAGUUAUCUAUCAGUGAUCAUAACUAAGGAGAGAAAUCAAGAUCAAAAUACAUGCAAAAAUAUGUUCUCUGCUGUUAUUUACGCCAAAUUAUUUCUCUUUAGCUAUCAACAUCACGUAGCACAUUCUCCGGAGAUAAAAAGUUUAUCAUCCAGAGAAUCAGAGUUCAUCAUCUAGAAAAUCUGCUAUAUGAAUGACCAUAUCACAGUCAAAUUGAGUUCAAAUUAGGAAACUAUGAUCCAAAAAUCUCUGACUCUUUUGGGGGCACCAAGCACAAUCCGCAAUUGCAUAAAUUACUUAGGAUGCGCUGUUGCCUAAAAUAUUCAUUCUCGACCAAUUAGGAAGAACAACAGCAUCUUACUCUUCAUUUUACAAUUCGCAAACAUCCUAUACCCAAAAGUUAUCUUUUUUCUCCUCUUAAAUGUAUAUUCACAUACUAAAAAGGGGAAAAAUCAAUCGAAACCGCGAUUAUAAACCCCAAAUCACCUAAAUCAGUAUAUUCAACACCAAAAUACUACUUAAAACUAAAUUAAGUUCUACAAAUGAACCAUACCACAUUAACCAACUCAAGCUUGUUAGGUCAGACCAAAAAUCCUUCCUAAUAUCAUUGAAUCAAAUCAUUUCGAGGUGAUUUUUAGAGCAUGAAACGUAUUUAGACACGCAAAUAAAAAACACACUUUCAGAAAAUCAUGGUAACAAUUUCAAAAGCUAAAAGGAACUCCUACCUACUAGAAGCUGAAAAAAAGAACAGAUGAGAGGAGAAAUUACCAAAUGCCUUCACAUCAUCAUCAUCAUCAGAAUUAUCCUUGAAGUGCUGAAAGUCAGCUUCAAAUUCAUCUUCAAGGUCAAUAAACUUAGACCUCAAGGGCUUUGAGUGGUAAUUACUAGGGUUCUUCUUCUUCUUGUUCAGAUCGGAUGUACCCCAUAGAAAAUCAGCGGUUAACCGGCGAGAAAUCCGGCUAGGAGGUACCAAAUCGGAGAUAAUUGCACCACCACACAUAGCUUUUGAUUUCUU
rnacentral:lncRNA from 1 species